GACCGACUGGUCCAAAUGUGAGUCUCCAUCAUUCAGUCCUGAACCUGGAGCCUCAGACACAAAAGCCCAGAACCAGAGACAAAGAGCCGAACCUCCAGGACCCAGCCGUCUGUCUAUGAAGAGUGACUGGUCCAUACAUGAGCCUCUAAACUUCAGUAAUGAACCUGGAGCCUCAGACACAAUGUCCCAUCAGGGACAAAGAUAUGAUGGACCUGGACCUGGACCCAGCUGUGUGUCCUUCAAGAGCGACCAGUCGAAGGAUGCUGAUAAUAAUUUCAAUGACCAACCUGUUUCACAGUCACAGUGAGUUGUUUUCACUUUGAAUCAUUCUGAACAAUUUGAUGUGAACUUUCUCUGAUGAUAAACAUUUGUUUCUUGUUCUGGUUGAUUUGUGUUUGAAGUGUUGAUGUGAAGGAGACACUUUCUUCACUCUGAUCAUUGAUCAAAUCUCCAUCCAGCAGUAGCUAAAGCUCUGAUCCUGUAGAGGGUCUCAGAGGCUGCUCCUCUUUUAAUGAAAUUCUGACGUCAAAGGAAGUAGCUGAUCAUCUCUGAUCAAAUCUGUUUAUUGACGUCUCUACAUGAAGGUUUUGGUCAAAUGUCUUGAAGCUUCUUCACUUGCAGCAGUAAAUUGAAGUUACUACUGGAAACUUCAUUUGUGAUGUUCACUUCAUCGCUUCAUGGACCUUUACCUUGUGUGUGUCUCUAUGUGGACUCAUUAGUGGGAGAGCUGAACAGCUCUCGCACUAUUGUUAUCUUCGGUCUUUAUUAUCACAGUGAAUGCUGCAAAGCAUUCACUGUAUUGUUUUUCUAAGCUUUAUUAUUAUCACAGUGAAUGCUGCAAAGCAUUCACUGUAUUGUUUUUCUAAGCUUUAUUAUUAUUAUUAUUAUUUUUCUUCCCCCCGUUUUUCUGCAUCUAACUAGUCCCGCAUACUUUCAGCUACAGAAACGAUUCCAAUAUCAAAAUGUUCAGCUUUUUAAGGAGAAGUGUGCUAUUACUUUUCUCAUUCAUAUGUUUCAUAUUUUUCAAGUUAUUAAGCUUUUUUUAACUUUUUUUUCCCAUUGAAAUGAAUGGGAACAACUUUUCAAAUUCUCUUCAGCUUUGUCUACUUUCAGCUUUAACUACUUCCGCAUACUUUAGGCUACAGACACCAUUUAAACUACAAAAUAAUCUUCAACUAUUCAACUAUUAAUCUUCCAGAAAUCGUUAAAAUAUCUUUAAUAGUUUCUGAUUUAUAGCAGUUUAAAUAUUGGGUGGUUUUUGGUCAAUUUUCAUCUUUUCCAUUAGUGUGUAUUGGGUUAUUUAGAGUGUGUGAUGUCACAGCCAGAGUGCGAGGGGACGUUUUUUUAAGAUAGAACUUCUGUCUUUAACUCGUCACUACAGCCACAAUUUUCACUCUAUCAAUGUAAUUAUUUCAGUAAAUCGUAGUCAUACUUGUCUUCUUUCUAAUGAUGUGUCUGGCUUUACUCUCAGACCUAUACUUUAGUCGCUAUCAACCUCAAAGCGCAGAGAGAUCCCGAAAUUCUCCCAUAGACUCUAAUGAUAAUUUUCGGCAGACGUCUGGGGAGAAAAACAAGAGGAGAAGUAUUUUGAAAUUGCGACUGCGGCUACAAACAUUUGUCCUCAAACAUAAAAUUCACACCAUUUGCUCAUUGAAGACUUGGGACUCGUAAAAUGAAAUAAUUUUUGUGAUAUCUAUUAUGGUUUAGCUGGAACAAGCCUGUUUAUACAGGGUGAAACUCUGCUUUUACAGAGCAGAGUGAGCCUGAUUUUCCCGCCUUUCGUCUCCAUGGCGACGGCGCAGCUGCAGAUUUGACUGACAGGUCAAAAUCCUGAUUCUCAGUGUAGACAGCAGUUCCAUGCUUAUUACUGGUUACUCAUCUACACUAUUGGAUUGUGUAGUAAUUAAGCACACACUUCCUCUAAAUCCUUUCAAAAUAAAAGCACCAAGCCAAAUAUUUAGCUUUAAUAGCAAUAUUUCUGCUUUUAGAUGGGUAAUUAUGACUUUUUAAAGAUAGAUUAACAGUUUAGUAAUUACCCACACAUGCUUCCUCUACAUCCUUUCAAAAUAAAAGCACCAAUGCCAAUUAUUAGCUUUAACUGCACCAUUUUUGCCUUUGAAUGGUUAAUUAUGAUUAUUUAAAGACUAAUUGACAGUUACGCUAUUACCCCCACACGUUUCCUCUAAAUCCUUUCAAAAUAAAAGCACCAAUUACAAUUUAUUACCUUUAAUGGCAAGAUUGAUUAAAAACUUUGUGGUUCUGAAUACUUGCCAAUCGUUAUAGAGACUACUUUAGAGUUCAGUAAAUAGCCACUCAAACUUAUUAGGGUGCUUUUAUUCUGAAAGGGCUGAAUCUAAAUCUUUUGCUUUAAUAGGGCUAUUGUUGCUAUUGAAUGAUAAAUUAUGACUAUCUAAUGACUAUUUUAUAGUUUAGUAAUCACCCACACACAACCUCUAAAUCCUUUCAAAAUAAAAGCACCAAUGUAAUUUAUUACCUUAAAUGGCAAGAUUUUUGUUUCUGACUGGUAAAUUUUUACUAGUUAUUAAACUAUUACACAGGUAAUUAUUUACAAAUACUUUCUUCAAAUUAAAAAGCUACUGUAGUCAGCUUAUUUAUGAUUGUCAACAAUGCACUCUGGUCAACUUUUUAAUCUUUGAUAUAUUUUUUACCUUGGUCAACUUUUGAAUCAUUGUCAUAUUUUAAUCUUGUCUUAGUAUGACAUUGGUCAUCUUUUUAUUCAUCAUCUUUUUAAUCGCCAUCUUUUGUCAUCAUUUUAUUCUUUGUCAACGUUUUCAUCGUUUUCAUCGUUUUGCCAAAGUCAACUUUUUGACGUCAGCAGCUUAAUCAGCGUUUGUCAUCGUUGCGGCAGCAGAUCAGCUCUCCCACGUAAUUUCUCGAGAAAUUACUUUUUCUAGUUCUUCAUGGUUCC